CGAACAGUAAAAGUGGCAACAACGAAUCGCAAUGGCCAAAUGUAGCUGGUCAACACGGAUCCAAAGUAGCCAGGCCAUGAAUGUAACAUUUGGGUCUCUGAGUGUUUGAAGGAUUGUGUUAGCCAGUGUAUCUACACACAAAACAAAACAUGAAGCUCAACUGGUUUUUGUGUUGGCCAAUAAAAGAGAAGAGCAAGAGUGGUAUAAAGACAAGCGCAGCCAUCGAAACGAAAGCAAAAUUAAACGACGCGAGACAAUAGCGUUAAAAAGUGUGGCAACAAACAGACCAACAAACCAGGGCCAAAAAAAAGCAACUCCAACAGCAUGUGAGAUCAUAAAAUUCACACAAAUGUUCAGAGACCCAUGAGCACAUGUGCAGCAUAUUCAGGAAACGUAAAUUGAGUCAAACCAUCGCCAUUGCCAUCAGCAUUAUCAGCGCACAUAAUGGAAAUGGCGCUCCUAACAAUCAUGUAAAAUUGGUGUAAAAUGCAGACGAGAUGGAGACCCGGAAUGAAGGAAAUGGGAAUCGUGCGAAAGGCAAUAACACAUCAAAUUGGUAUUAGAAGUUGUUACACCGACGCCCCACGCCAGCUACAUUUAUAUAUAUAAAAAAGGGGCGGCAGCUGGGCGUGGCCACGGUGAUACAAAUUGCAGGAGCAGGAUCCGUAACAUUUCGCCUGCCUGUCGCUGGUUGCAACAUAAAAGUCAAUUAAUGUACAAUUACAAAAACAUCAGGACCACCAGCAACAGGAGAAGCAACGAGCUUCAAAAGGCACCGAAAGAAUAGGGGGGAAAAGAGGAGGAGCAGAAAUUACUGCAAAUUACACGCAAAGAGUCCUGAAAGCUGCGGUCCAAGUUGGAGCAAGAGCCGGAAGCCGAGUGGACCGAGGAGGAGG